CCUACGGGGGGCAGCAGUGAGGAAUAUUGGUCAAUGGCCGGAAGGCUGAACCAGCCAUGCCGCGUGAAGGUCAGUGCCCUAUGGGCGUUAAACUUCUUUUGUGCGGGAGCAAUAAUGGUCACGUGUGGCCAGACGAGAGUACCGUACGAAUAAGCAUCGGCUAACCUCGUGCCAGCAGCCGCGGUUAUACGGGGGAUUCAAGCGUUAUCCGGAUUUAAUUGGUUUAAAGGGUGCGGAGGCUGUGAGGUAAGUCAGCGGUGAAAUGCCCCCGCUCAACGGGGUGAAGUGCCAUUGAUACUGGCUGGCUGGAAUGCGGAUGCAGUGGGAGGAAUGUGUGGUGUAGCGGUGAAAUGCAUAGAUAUCACACAGAACACCGAUUGCGAAGGCAUCUCACGAAUCCGCGAUUGACGCUGAUGCACGAAAGCGUGGGUAUCAAACAGGAUUAGAUACCCGAGUAGUC
rnacentral:rRNA from 1 species